rnacentral:rRNA from 1 species
AUUGAACGCUGGCGGCAUGCUUUACACAUGCAAGUCGGACGGCAGCACAGAGAAGCUUGCUUCUUGGGUGGCGAGUGGCGAACGGGUGAGUAAUAUAUCGGAACGUACCGAGCAGUGGGGGGAUAACUAAUCGAAAGAUUAGCUAAUACCGCAUAUUUUCUGAGGAAGAAAGCAGGGGACCAUUUGGCCUUGCGCUGUUUGAGCGGCCGAUAUCUGAUUAGCUAGUUGGUGGGGUAAAGGCCUACCAAGGCGACGAUCAGUAGCGGGUCUGAGAGGAUGAUCCGCCACACUGGGACUGAGACACGGCCCAGACUCCUACGGGAGGCAGCAGUGGGGAAUUUUGGACAAUGGGCGCAAGCCUGAUCCAGCCAUGCCGCGUGUCUGAAGAAAGGGCUUCGGGUUGUAAAGGACUUUUGUCAGGGAAGAAAAGGAUAGGGUUAAUACCCCUGUCUGAUGACGUACCUGAAGAA